AGACCCAGAGAGCGGAGCCCCAGCCCCCAACCCUCCACCUCUGGCCUGCAUACCAAGUGGAUGGCAGGAUGGUGGGAGCAGGAGGACGCAUCCAGUGACCCCGAUGACCCUCCAGAGAAGAGCGCACCUGUCCCCACAGUGUGGAAGCUCAGCCCCGAGCCCUCUGAACAGGAGAUGGAUCCUGUUGCCCUCCAGUUCUGUGCAGGCCUCCGGUCGAUGUUUCUGAUGCAUCGGUGGACGUAUUGAUCCUCCUGCAGGAAACAGGCCAGAUGCUGAGCUCCACAGCUGGAGCUGCUGUCAGAG